rnacentral:rRNA from 1 species
UACGUAGGGUGCAAGCGUUAAUCGGAAUUACUGGGCGUAAAGCGUGCGCAGGCGGUUUUUUUAGACUGUCGUGAAAUCCCCGGGCUUAACCUGGGAAUGGCGAUGGUGACUGCAAGGCUAGAGUUUGGCAGAGGGGGGUAGAAUUCCACGUGUAGCAGUGAAAUGCGUAGAUAUGUGGAGGAACACCGAUGGCGAAGGCAGCCCCCUGGGUCAAGAUUGACGCUCAUGCACGAAAGCGUGGGGAGCAAACAGG